rnacentral:rRNA from 1 species
GUACACGCUGUGACUAGCAUAUCAAUAAGCGGAGGAAAAGAAACUAACAAGGAUUCCCUCAGUAACGGCGAGUGAAGCGGGAAGAGCUCAAAUUUGAAAUCUUGAAAGGUCACCUUUCACGAAUUGUAGUUUAAAGAAGUGUUUUCUGUUACGAUCGUAAUAUAAGUUCUUUGGAAUAGGACAUCACAGAGGGUGAGAAUCCCGUCUAUGAUUGCGAUUUGUAGCUUUGUGAUACACUUUCAAAGAGUCGGGUUGUCUGGGAAUGCAGUCCAAAAUGGGUGGUAAAUUUCAUCUAAAGCUAAAUAUUGGCGAGGAGACCGAUAGCGAACAAGUACCGUGAGGGGAAAGAUGAAAAGAACUUUGAAAAGAGAGUUAAAUAGUACGUGAAAUUGUCAAAAGGGAAGCGUUUAACACCAGUGUUGUUUUCUGAAAAUCAACCUCUGUUAGCUUUAUGCAUGUUUGUUUAGACCUAAUCAGCUAUCUUUGCAUGUUCUAUUGUUUGCAGUGGUGCACUUUUCAGUUUACAGGUCAAGUAUCAGUUUUUUUUUUACCGUAAAAAAAGUUAAAGAAAGGUAGCUCAUGGCUCCGGUCGUGAGUGUUAUAGUCUUUUUCCUAUGCGGUAGGAGAGACUGAGGUCUGCAGUGUAGGCUAUUUGGCUAGAUACUCAGGUGCUAUGUGAUACCAUUUCAUAAACAACUUGUUGAUUAUGUUUUGUCUAUUGCAUACUCGCUUGUACUAUCAUACCUACGCUUAGGAUGUUGAGUAGCGACAUACGCAC